AAGGCAGGUGGGGGGGACAAGGACUUUCGCCCCCGCCAGCCUUCAGAAGAGGUCCAGGACCUCUUCUGAAGGCUGGCGGGGGCAAAGUCUUUGUCCCCCUGCCUGCCUU
rnacentral:miRNA from 1 species